AAACUUAGCCAGUUCAUGUGCUAAAACUGGAAGGAUUCAGAGAAGAUUAUCAUGGCCUUUCUGCAAAGAUGACAUGCAAAUUUAUGAAGCAUUCCUCAUUUAA
ensembl:snRNA U6 U6 spliceosomal RNA